rnacentral:lncRNA from 1 species
ACCAAAUUGAAAGCAAUUGGAAAUAAAAUAAAAGCAACCCUUGUUCCAGUGGGCCCUUCCCAAGGGAAUUGAAAUUAGAAUUCUUCCAAAAACUAGUUGAAUAAUAGUGCCUCUCACCAAGCUAUUAACGUCCUGUGCUUCCUAAUGCAACAAGCUAGACUUCUUCUCUCAACUAUCAUGCAUACUUCCAUCAAAUUAACUCUUCACCCUCAAAGAAAUGCAAGAAAGGACAAGCUACACCUACUCCAUAAACUAGAAUAUGGUCGGUUCUCUCUCCUCCAAAAGCAAUUACCAUGAACUCUACUUCAUUUCCCCAAGAAAGCAAAUUGAUAAACCAACAAAAUGUUGAAGCAACUCCCAAGGCAAUGAUGGUCAUCAACGGGCCCACUCUCACCUCAUUUAUCUCUCAUUCCAUAAAAACAAAAGUAAGGUACCUUUCUCCAAGUAACCGUAACAUCUCUACACCCUUCUCCUCUUCACCAAUUCUUUUAAAAGCAAAAAAAAAAAAAAAAACUUGGAUAUAGAUGCUGUCACGUCCAGCCCAUCAAAGUGAAUUCUCACACCAUGAAUAAAAGUGCUUGCAUCAAUCAAAGUAAAGCAAAUGGAAGAAAGAAUUUCUAUAGCAUCCAGCAGCAUGAAUAUAACCGUGCAUUCAAUCAAAGUUGCAGCAACAAAAUGAAAAAAAAUAGCAAAACAACAAAUUGAUAUUAAUGCUUGCAAAAGAAAAGUGUGCUCCUCAAUUUCAUCCAAUGCCCUUCACUGAGAACAACAUUUCCAAGCUCUCUCACCAAAAUAACGCUCCAGCACCUCCUCCC